rnacentral:rRNA from 1 species
ACUCCUACGGGAGGCAGCAGUGAGGAAUAUUGGACAAUGGGCGGGAGCCUGAUCCAGCCAUGCCGCGUGCAGGAAGACUGCCCUAUGGGUUGUAAACUGCUUUUAUACGGGAAGAAACACUCCCUCGUGAGGGAAUUUGACGGUACCGUAAGAAUAAGGAUCGGCUAACUCCGUGCCAGCAGCCGCGGUAAUACGGAGGGUGCAAGCGUUAAUCGGAAUUACUGGGCGUAAAGCGAGUGUAGGCGGCGACGUAAGUCGGAUGUGAAAGCCCCGGGCUCAACCUGGGAAUGGCAUUCGAUACUGCGUGGCUCGAGUCUGAUAGAGGGAUGUGGAAUUCCGGGUGUAGCGGUGAAAUGCGUAGAUAUCCGGAGGAACACCAGUGGCGAAGGCGGCAUCCUGGAUCAAGACUGACGCUGAGGCUCGAAAGCGUGGGGAGCAAACAGGAUUAGAUACCCUGAUAGGCUCUGCU